AUUGAACGCUGGCGGCAUGCUUUACACAUGCAAGUCGAACGGCAGCGCGGGCUUCGGCCUGGCGGCGAGUGGCGAACGGGUGAGUAAUGCAUCGGAACGUGCCCAGUAGUGGGGGAUAGCCCGGCGAAAGCCGGAUUAAUACCGCAUACGACCUGAGGGUGAAAGCGGGGGACCGAAAGGCCUCGCGCUAUUGGAGCGGCCGAUGUCGGAUUAGCUAGUUGGUGGGGUAAAGGCUUACCAAGGCGACGAUCCGUAGCUGGUCUGAGAGGACGACCAGCCACACUGGGACUGAGACACGGCCCAGACUCCUACGGGAGGCAGCAGUGGGGAAUUUUGGACAAUGGGGGCAACCCUGAUCCAGCCAUGCCGCGUGCGGGAAGAAGGCCUUCGGGUUGUAAACCGCUUUUGUUCGGGAAGAAAUCCUCUGGGCUAAUACCCCGGGGGGAUGACGGUACCGGAAGAAUAAGCGCCGGCUAACUACGUGC
rnacentral:rRNA from 1 species